AUCCAAUUCUGUAACAGGUUUACGCUUUUGGUACACAACUUCCGCAUUCUUUUCACUUUAUAAACCAGGCUAUCAGAUACAGGCGAGAUUUUUGCAAACAACUAUUUCUGUUUGUGUAGUCCCCGUGUCAAGUAUAUACAAAGUCUUCCAUUCUUCUAUAGCGUCCGCGGCCAAAUGGACCCGUUAGACUUUAAAACGAAUAAAGAGUUGCUGUUUUUCUUCCACCGGAAAAAGACGGAGAUUUCGUGCAUAGAAGAACCGCACAGACUCCUCACUCAGCUGCGCGACCACGAUCUGGUGCCAGAGAAACUUUUUGAGAAUGUGAAAAACACGCGUACUCGUAAGCAGAAGGAGAAGGGCUUCUAUGAGGUUCUGGACUGGGUGGAGAAAAAUAGACCUCAGGACAUACAGCAGUUCUGGUGCUGUGUGUUUGAAGAUCAUAUCCUGCAGCAGUACCCAAAGCUACGCAAGCUCAGAAGCAGUCUGCUUGAUGGCACUGAGAAACUCUAUGAGAAACCUCCGGAUGUUGAGAUACAGACAGAGGAGGAGAAGAGUAAAGGAAAGGCAGAGAAAGGGAAGGAGAAGAGCUACAAAAGAAAGGGAAGUAAAGAUGACAAAAGUAGUGAGGAUAGUGAUGAUCCUGGUCCUUCCUCUACUUCCACACCCAAGCGGAGGAAACCAGCCAAAAAACCCUCAUCCUGUGAGUCCCUGAACUACAGCAGGUCUAAUUUCUUAUCAGGGUUUAUAGUUAACA
rnacentral:lncRNA from 1 species